rnacentral:rRNA from 1 species
GACGAACGCUGGCGGCGUGCUUAACACAUGCAAGUCGAACGAAGUGGCGUACGGGUGAGUAACGCGUAAUCAACCUGCCCUUCAGAGGGGGAUAACAGUUGGAAACGACUGCUAAUACCGCAUACUGAAGGUGGGGAUUGCGUCUGAUUAGCUAGUUGGGGGGGUAACGGCCCACAAAGGCGGUGAUCAGUAGCCGGUCUUGGGGGAUGAACGGCCAAAUUGGGACUGGGAAACGGCCCAGACUGCUACUGGAGGGAGCAGUGGGGAAUCUUCCGCAAUGGACGAAAGGCUGACGGAGCAACGCCGCGUGGGUGAUGGCGGCCUUCGGGUUGUAAAGCUCUGUUAAUCGGGACGCGGUACCGGAAUAGGAAGCCACGGCUAACUACGUGCCAGCAGCCGCGGUAAUAC